AGCUAAUUUAGGCUGAGAGAAAAAAAAAGCCGUUGGAAUAUCAAACUUCUCAGCUCAACGAUUCACCUUAAAAAAUCACAGCAAAAAUAUGUUUCAAUCAUUUCUUCACCUAGCAGAUCCCUCCUUUCUCUCAAAAAAAAAUUUGAGAUCUUUAUCUCCUGCGACUAUUCUCUCCUCUAUUGUAAAAAAUAAUUUCCCUUUUUUUUUUCUACCCAAUACGCCUUUCCAAGCUCUUGAUCUUGUAAAUCUGAUUAAUAAAAAGAUAUUUUUUUUCAUUUGUUUGUUGCUUUCACCGUGAACAAUUUUGUAUAUCUUUUGUGCAUGUCUUCUUCCCAAAUAGCACCAAAAUUAAUAUAUGAUCUGAAAUCUCCUUGUUUUGUAGUUGCAAAAAAAAAAAAAAAAUGAAGUCCAUUUUCUUUUUAUUGCUUCUCACAAUUUCGUUUUUAUUGUUGAUGAAUUUAUUUGCAGAUCUGAGUUGGUGUUAGAGGCAAAAGAACAAGGAGACCUUGAGAAAUUAUUUGGGAACAAAAAGAGAAGGUGCUGUAAAAUUGAGAAUGGAAGGUCCUGAAACUAUGGAAAAAGUUGCUUGGAAUAAAGAAAUGUUGCAUGUUUUUUGUGACCUUUGCAUCAAGGCCAUCGACAUGGGAAUGAGACAGAAUACUCAUUUCGACAAAGAUGGUUGAAAAUAUUUGUUGACAGCUUUCAAAGAACAAACUGGUCAUGCAUUCACCAAGACACAACUGAAGAACAAAUGGGAUGGCUGCAAAAAAGGAUUGGAGGAUUUAGACGAAGCUCAUUUCCGAAACUAGUGUGGGCUGGAGUAAUGAAUUAGAAACAAUUUCUGCAAGUGAUGAGUGGUGGAAAGAAAAAAUUCAGGAAAUAAGAGGAUCAAAAAAGUUCAGGCAAACUGGUAUCGAACCAUCUUUACGUAUAAAGUUCGACAGAAUGUUCUCGAACAUUAUUGCUACUGGAGAGUAUGCAUGGGCACCAUCGUCUGGAGUCCUCUGUGAUGAUAAUGUUGGUGUUGAUGAGGAUCCAAAUACCAAUGAGGAACAACCUGAUUUAGAAGAAGGAAGCAGUAAUUCAGAAGAGGAUGGAAUUCUAAAUUUCACCGUUGAUGUUUGCAACAUGGUUAGAGGGGUUAAUUUGUCCAGCAUUAGCAACACACUCAGCAGUGGGAAGAGAAAAGAAAGAGAACAUUUUGAGGUUCAAGAUUGGAAAAAAAAAAGUUUUGGAAUUGGGUUGCAACUAUUGUCACGAUGGGAUCAAAUGGUUGACAACAUGUCAAAUAAUAGUGAUUCAACAUCUAUCAGUAGAGAUAGGAAAGGGUGUAGUAUUCCUGAUGUUAUGACCGAGCUUCACUCAAUUGAAUGAGUUCAUAUCGGUGAUGAUUUUAAUGGGUUUGCUACUAAGUUUUUAGGUUUGAGAAGGAAUAGAGAAAUGUGGUCAACUAUGGGUAAUCUUGAAAACAAGAUGAAAUGGUUGCAGAGAAUGUAUACAUGACAUAAAACACCUUAAACUGAGAGGUAUAUAUAGAUCCCAAAUACAUGCUUUCAUUUAUUUAAAUUUACAGAUAUCUCAAGAUGAUAUGGAGUAAUAAAUUCAUUUAUGUUUGUUCGGGACCCUAUUUGUAAUUUUAACAGUUGACAUUAUAAGGAGACAAUGUUUGCAAUCAGUUAGGUUAU